rnacentral:rRNA from 1 species
AUGGCACAAACAGGAAUAGUGUCACCUCUAAGGAAGCUAGAUCAUUUGCAUUUGGAUCAUCAUCCAUCAAAUGGUCAAAGAUUUUCUCUAGAUUCAGAUCGCCCAAAAGAUGACGUUGGACUCCCUCUCAUCCCAAAACAUGUUGAACCGUCUGGAUCGGAAGGCUUUAUGAGAGGAAGAUCAUACAAUAUACAAAUAGAUGAUCAAGUCAUGCUUCGUUUCUCACCAAAGAACUCUGACUCAACUUAUUACUUUGGUGAUAUGAUUGGUGGAGCACUCACUUUUUUCCAUGGAACUGGAACGCGAAGAUGUCUAGAAAUAUCUAUAACCUUGGAAACAUCAGAAACAAUUAAUCCUCGUGUAAUACACCCUUCACGAAGGGUCUCAUCGACAGUAACCAAGGUACACAACGAAUAUCAUGAAGUUGUUGCAGAUCUUCACCAGACAAGUUUUCUCUUUUCAAUUCCUAUUGAUGGACCAAUGUCAUUUGCUACCUCAAAGGUUUCUGUACAGUGGUCCCUUAGAUUUGAGUUCUUCACAACUCCGGCAGGAAUGGACUCAUCGAGGUAUGAGCACCCACUUCUUGUUGAGAAAAGAGAGAAAGGGGACUGGGUCCUCCCAAUAACAGUUUAUGCACCUUCAAUGCGUAGACGAGCUACUCAUGGAAGAAACGACAGAUCUACGAUAGUUGGAAAUCUGUUCAACUCUUGA